rnacentral:misc_RNA from 1 species
GUGAAUAAACUUGUGUGGGUUGUUGCUGGCCUCCUCGGAGGUAUGUGCACACCUGCCAUUGUUUCAUUCCCCUUCCACCUGUGCACUUCUUGUAGACCAGCUGUCGCUUUUCGGGUUGCUUGCAUCCCGGUUAUAAGGAUCUGCUCCGGCUGUCCUUGUCGUUGGCGGUCUAUGUCUUUUAUCAACUCUGCAUGUAACCGAAUGUUUGUUCUGGGUUCUAUACCCAUAAAAUCUAUA